AAUUCCACCGGGUCCACCGAUCGAGUGACCACGAGGUAAUCGCGCAGCGCGGUGCUGUGCCUGGCCUC
rnacentral:sRNA from 22 species